AUUGAACGCUGGCGGAAUGCUUUACACAUGCAAGUCGAGCGGCAGCGCGGGGCAACCUGGCGGCGAGCGGCGAACGGGUGAGUAAUACAUCGGAACGUGCCCAGACGUGGGGGAUAACUACUCGAAAGAGUGGCUAAUACCGCAUACGAUCUAAGGAUGAAAGCGGGGGAUCGCAAGACCUCGCGCGUUUGGAGCGGCCGAUGGCAGAUUAGGUAGUUGGUGGGGUAAAGGCUUACCAAGCCCGCGAUCUGUAGCUGGUCUGAGAGGAUGAUCAGCCACACUGGGACUGAGACACGGCCCAGACUCCUACGGGAGGCAGCAGUGGGGAAUUUUGGACAAUGGGGGCAACCCUGAUCAGCCAUGCCGCGUGAGUGAAGAAGG
rnacentral:rRNA from 1 species